UGGAACAAAGGUCUAAUGACAAGUGUCAUU
rnacentral:piRNA from 1 species